CUGUGUCCCGCACCGCCGGUUCACCGCCUGUCGGUGUUAAACUGGCGUGUAUGCGGGACGUCCUGUCGGUGGCGGUCCGGGGCUUUGUCGGCCGUCGUAGGGGCGUCCUGUCUCUGACUGCGAUGCUCCGAAGGUCGGCUUCGCUUCCGGCCGCCUUUUGAAUCCCGCCGCGGUGCUCUUCACCGAGUGUCGAGGCGGGCCGGCACGUUUACUUUGAACAAAUUAGAGUGCUUUAAGCAGGCUCUUUCCCGCCUGUAUACUGUGUGCAUGGAAUAAUGGAAUAGGACCUCGGUUCUAUUUUGUUGGUUUCCGGAAUCUGAGGUAAUGAUCAAUGGGGACAGGCGGGGGCAUUCGUAUUGCGACGUUAGAGGUGAAAUUCUUGGAUCGUCGCAAGACGGACCGAAGCGAAAGCAUUUGCCAAGUAUGUUCUCGUCGAUCAAGAACGAAAGUUAGAGGUUCGAAGGCGAUCAGAUACCGCCCUAGUUCUAACCAUAAACUAUGCCUGCCAGCGAUCCGCCGGCGUUCCUCCGAUGACCCGGCGGGCAGCUUCCGGGAAACCAGAGCUUUUGGGUUCCGGGGGAAGUAUGGUUGCAAAGCUGAAACUUAAAGGAAUUGACGGAAGGGCACCACCAGGAGUGGAGCCUGCGGCUUAAUUUGACUCAACACGGGAAAACUCACCAGGCCCGGACACCGGAAGGAUUGACAGAUUGAGAGCUCUUUCUUGAUUCGGUGGGUGGUGGUGCAUGGCCGUUCUUAGUUGGUGGAGCGAUUUGUCUGGUUAAUUCCGAUAACGAACGAGACUCUAGCCUACUAACUAGACGUAUCCGGUAUCCACAAUCGUGCUACCGGCGAUCAAAUUUCUUCUUAGAGGGACAGGCGGCUUCUAGCCGCACGAGACUGAGCAAUAACAGGUCUGUGAUGCCCUUAGAUGUCCUGGGCCGCACGCGCGCUACACUGAAGGAAUCAGCGUGUCUUCCCUGUCCGAAAGGACCGGGUAACCCGCUGAACCUCCUUCGUGCUAGGGAUUGGGGCUUGCAAUUGUUCCCCAUGAACGAGGAAUUCCCAGUAAGCGCGAGUCAUAAGCUCGCGUUGAUUACGUCCCUGCCCUUUGUACACACCGCCCGUCGCUACUACCGAUUGAAUGAUUUAGUGAGGUCUUCGGACUGGUGCGCGUAGGUGGCUCCGGCUGCCUCCGAUGUUGUCGGAAAGAUGACCAAACUUGAUCAUU
rnacentral:rRNA from 1 species